rnacentral:rRNA from 1 species
UGGGGAAUAUUGGACAAUGGGCGCAAGCCUGAUCCAGCCAUACCGCGUGGGUGAAGAAGGCCUUCGGGUUGUAAAGCCCUUUUGUUGGGAAAGAAAUCCAGCUGGCUAAUACCCGGUUGGGAUGACGGUACCCAAAGAAUAAGCACCGGCUAACUUCGUGCCAGCAGCCGCGGUAAUACGAAGGGUGCAAGCGUUACUCGGAAUUACUGGGCGUAAAGCGUGCGUAGGUGGUCGUUUAAGUCCGUUGUGAAAGCCCUGGGCUCAACCUGGGAACUGCAGUGGAUACUGGGCGACUAGAGUGUGGUAGAGGGUAGCGGAAUUCCUGGUGUAGCAGUGAAAUGCGUAGAGAUCAGGAGGAACAUCCAUGGCGAAGGCAGCUACCUGGACCAACACUGACACUGAGGCACGAAAGCGUGGGGA